GCGGGAGUGCUGGAAUUGGCAGACAGGCUAGACUAAGGAUCUAGUGGCUGUAUGGUCGUGUGGGUUCAAGUCCCAUCUCCCGCA
rnacentral:tRNA from 4 species